rnacentral:rRNA from 1 species
UACGUAGGGUCCGAGCGUGUCCGGAAUUAUUGGGCGUAAAGAGCUCGUAGGCGGCUUGUCACGUCGGAUGUGAAAGCCCGAGGCUUAACCUCCGGGUCUGCAUUCGAUACGGGCUAGCUAGAGUAUAGUAGGGGGUAAAGGGAAUUUCCAGUGGAGCGGGUGAAAUGCGUAGAGAUUGGAAAGAACACCGAUGGCGAAGGCAACUUUUACUGGGCUAUUACUAACACUCAGAGACGAAAGCUAGGGU